UCGUGAGAUGUUGGGUUAAGUCCCGCAACGAGCGCAACCCUUGUCCCUAGUUGCUACGCAAGGGCACUCUAGGGAGACUGCCGGUGACAAACCGGAGGAAGGUGGGGAUGACGUCAAGUCCUCAUGGCCCUUAUGGGUAGGGCUUCACACGUCAUACAAUGGCCGGUACAGAGGGUUGCCAAAGCGCGAGCUGGAGCCAAUCCCCGUAAAAGCCGGUCGUAGUCCGGAUUGCAGUCUGCAACUCGACUGCAUGAAGUCGGAAUCGCUAGUAAUCGCGGAUCAGCAUGUCGCGGUGAAUACGUUCCCGGGUCUUGUACACACCGCCCGUCACACCAUGGGAGUGGGUUCUACCAGAAGUAGGUAGGCUAACCGCAAGGGGGCCGCUUACCACGGUAGGAUUCAUGACUGGGGUGAAGUCGUAACAAGGUAA
rnacentral:rRNA from 1 species